GAUGAACGCUAGCUACAGGCUUAACACAUGCAAGUCGAGGGGAAACGACAUCGAAAGCUUGCUUUUGAUGGGCGUCGACCGGCGCACGGGUGAGUAACGCGUAUCCAACCUGCCCACCACUUGGGGAUAACCUUGCGAAAGUAAGACUAAUACCCAAUGAUAUCCCACGAAGACAUCUGAAUGGGAUUAAAGAUUUAUCGGCGAUGGAUGGGGAUGCGUCUGAUUAGCUUGUUGGCGGGGUAACGGCCCACCAAGGCAACGAUCAGUAGGGGUUCUGAGAGGAAGGUCCCCCACAUUGGAACUGAGACACGGUCCAAACUCCUACGGGAGGCAGCAGUGAGGAAUAUUGGUCAAUGGGCGAGAGCCUGAACCAGCCAAGUAGCGUGCAGGAAGACGGCCCUAUGGGUUGUAAACUGCUUUUAUAAGGGAAUAAAGUGGGUCACGUGUGACUUUUUGCAUGUACCUUAUGAAUAAGGACCGGCUAAUUCCGUG
rnacentral:rRNA from 1 species